rnacentral:rRNA from 1 species
UACGAAGGGGGCUAGCGUUGCUCGGAAUCACUGGGCGUAAAGGGUGCGUAGGCGGGUCUUUAAGUCAGGGGUGAAAUCCUGGAGCUCAACUCCAGAACUGCCUUUGAUACUGAGGAUCUUGAGUUCGGAAGAGGUGAGUGGAACUGCGAGUGUAGAGGUGAAAUUCGUAGAUAUUCGCAAGAACACCAGUGGCGAAGGCGGCUCACUGGUCCAUAACUGACGCUGAGGCACGAAAGCGUGGGGAGCAAACAGG